rnacentral:rRNA from 1 species
UGCAAGUCGAACGGUAACAUUGGUGCUUGCACCAGAUGACGAGUGGCGCACGGGUGCGUAACGCGUAUGCAAUCUACCUUUUACUGAAGAAUAGCCCAGAGAAAUUUGGAAUAAUCCUUCAUAACAUCAUUUAUCAGCAUUGAUUUAUGAUUAAAGCUCCGGCGGUAAAAGAUGAGCAUGCGUCCUAUUAGUUUGUUGGUGAGGUAACGGCUCACCAAGACUACGAUAGGUAGGGGCCCUGAGAGGGGGAUCCCCCACACUGGUACUGAGACACGGACCAGACUCCUACGGGAGGCAGCAGUGAGGAAUAUUGGACAAUGGAGGCAACUCUGAUCCAGCCAUGCCGCGUGCAGGAUGACUGCCCUAUGGGUUGUAAACUGCUUUUAUAUAGGAAGAAACACUCCCACGUGUGGGGGCUUGACGGUACUAUAUGAAUAAGGAUCGGCUAACUCCGUGCCAGCAGCCGCGGUAAUACGGAGGAUCCAAGCGUUAUCCGGAAUCAUUGGGUUUAAAGGGUCCGCAGGCGGCCUGUUAAGUCAGAGGUGAAAGCCAACAGCUCAACUGUUGAACUGCCUUUGAUACUGAUAGGCUAGAGUUAUUGUGAAGUGGUUAGAAUGUGUGGUGUAGCGGUGAAAUGCUUAGAUAUCACACAGAAUACCCAUUGCGAAGGCAGAUCACUAACAAUAUACUGACGCUCAUGGACGAAAGCGUGGGGAGCGAA